CUCUCUCUCUAAAAAUAACGUUUUCUCUCUCUCCCUUUCCCUUUGGAUGUUUACAGGUUUUGCAGGUGACCCAGAAGCCACAUGUCCUCUCAGUGAAUUUAAUGGGAACCACGCACCUCCGCACCUCCCGCUAUAGUGACCUCUCUCUCUCUCUAGAUUUCCAUUUCUCGUUAGGUCGCCAUCUCUCUCUCUAGGUUUCCAUGUCCCUGUUUGAUCGCCAUCUCUCUCUUCUCUGCUCACCCCCAUCUCUCUCUCUAGGUUUCCAUGUCCCUGUUUGAUUGCCAUCUCUCUCUUCUCUGCUCACCCCCAUCUUUUAGGGUUUUCGAGCUUACCACUUUCCAUUUCUAGAGAGAGAAGGAUUUUGUUAGAGAGAGAAUAACCUCAUCGCCAAGCAUCCGUUUCCUCAUCUCUGAGAAUAAUUAUCGCUUGCCCUUUCCUAACGAUUCUAAGUCCGUAUCUCAAUUCAGAGUUUCAUGAUUGUCUUCCACGAUUUAUAGGAGUCAAAUUCAUCUUCUCCCAUUUGCAUAGAAAGAUCGUAUUGUCUCUCACUUUUAGAGAGAGAAAAUCAUCGUUCUAUGGCCUAUGAGUGGGAGUUUUUCUAGGGUUUGUAUAGGGAAUGUAUGAUUGGGAGUUUUUCUAGGGUUUGUUUAGGGAAUGAGAUACAGAGCUCUUGGAAAUUAGGGUGGGUCUUUUAGGUGAUGAUUUGAAAAUAUGAAGAGUGGGGUUUUGAAUCGAUUAAGGGGGAAGCAGCUCUCCCUUACUCUAAUUGGAUUUCUGUGUAUGACCCUUGUUUUGUGGGCAUGGGAAAAGACACCCAUUAUUGCUUCGAUUUUGCCUCCUCAAAGCCAGUUUGAGUCUCUCUCUCAAGGGCUUCAUUCUGGUUCCCCUCCUCCACCUUCGUCCUCUGCAACAAUCUUGGUGAUGCCAGUGCCCAAGGAGAGGUUCUCCAAUGAAGGCGAGGAAUCAUAUAGAGGUCUAGAGGGAGAACAACAACUCGAACCUUCCUCUAGUGGUUUAGAGGGAGAACAAAAACUCGAGCCUUCCUCUAUUUCUUUGGAGCCCAACAUCAAUGAACAAAAUGACACAAAGAAAGAGUGUAACUAUGCCAAGGGUCGAUGGCUUCCAGAUAAAAAUAGGCCAUUGUACUCUGGGUUUGGUUGUAAGCGAUGGCUUUCAGAGAUGUGGGCUUGUAGAUUAACCCAACGCACUGAUUUCUCUUACGAAAGUUUCAGAUGGCGGCCAGAAGGAUGCGAGAUGCCGGAUUUUCGGGGAUCAUCUUUUCUGAAGAGGAUGAAGGACAAGACCAUUGCUCUGGUAGGUGAUUCACUUGGAAGGCAGCAAUUCCAAUCUCUCAUGUGUAUGGCCACUGGUGGAGAGGACGGGCCUGACGUGCUGGAUGUGGGUUGGGAAUAUGGCUUGGUCAAACACCGAGGGUCCAUAAGACCUGAUGGCUGGGCUUACCGCUUCCCCAAAACUAACACCACCAUCCUCUACUAUUGGUCUGCAAGCCUAUGUGAGCUCGUGCCCAUUAAUCGCUCAGACCCUAACACCGACUAUGCCAUGCAUCUGGAUCGGCCAGCCUUCUUUCUCCAACAAUUCAUCCACAAAUUCGAUGUUCUGGUUUUGAACACAGGCCACCAUUGGAAUAGAGGGAAGCUCAAGGCAAAUAGAUGGGUUAUGUAUGUUAAUGGACAACCCAACACAAAUAGAAGAUUGAUGGAGAUUAGUAAUGCAAAGAACCUGACAGUUGAUAGUGUUGUUAAGUGGGUGAGUUCGCAGCUCCCAGGGCAUCCUAGGAAGCUCAAGGCCUUCUUUAGGACCAUAUCUCCAAGGCAUUUCUUUAAUGGGGAUUGGAAUUCAGGUGGGAGCUGCGAUAAUACUCUGCCUCUUUCUGGAGGUAACCAGGUUUUGCAGGAAGAGUCCAGUGAUACAGUUGCAGAGAGUGCAGUUAGGGGAACCGGGGUUAGACUAUUGGACAUUACGGCCCUGUCACAAUUGAGAGAUGAGGGGCAUAUUUCAAGGUAUAGUGUCAAAGCAACAGAAGGCGUGCAGGAUUGCCUGCAUUGGUGCCUUCCUGGUGUUCCCGACACAUGGAAUGAAUUACUAUAUGCACAGCUAUAGGCUCCCUCUUUUUAGGACUGUAGGCUAUAGGCUCACUAAAUGCGUUGGGAGACUUCUGAUUUAGACAGAGGUGGCAUCGAUAUAGGCAAUCUGAAAGAGGCAUACGAAAUAGUACUGCUGAAGAAUAACCAGAGUUCGGUAUGAACUUGUCCUGUGGAUUGAACUGUUGGGUUUGUCGGGGGGAAGGCAUAUCACUUUCCUUGGCAUUUUUUCUGAGACCGAAUACUUGUUUUAUUGCUUCAAAAAUCCUUUCAGAGUGCCUGGGCAAACGCUGUUUUUAAAGAAUUUGCGGGGAAGAUAGGCACAAUGUUAAUGAAGUGUACCAAUUGUAACGUGAAGGAGGGUACCUCGCUGAACCCAUUGUUUGGCAGGUGCAUUGGCCCUGGGAGAGGGGUUCUCCUUAACGUGAAAGAGCUGUUUUUGUCUGCAGGUGACGGCCAACGGCAGGUGUCCUGGGGGCUGGAGCCAAAUGGUUAACAGAAAAAGAUGCAUGCCUGAAAUGAAAUAGGCAGAAAGCAGAAAAGCAAAAAGUAGAAUUUGAGUGAUCAAUUGUUCUAGCCUAGUGCCAUGCAGCUGUUUUUUUUUUUGAACGUUAAGUCAUAGUAGUGGGUUAGCAAUUUUUGAGACCCUUAGUAGUUUUCAAAGGGGUUGGCAUUGGCAGGAAUGGAAAUCGAGACCGGUAGUUGAGUCACAGGUUGUGCUACGACCUUUUCCUCGACCCCAUUCCUAGUUCCAUGCAGCUGGUUGUCUGGACCAUUUGACUGACAUUAAAUUUCACUGAUUCAAGCCCGAGUAAGAAGAAAUGUAUUCGAAUUUAUACUUUGCUCAUAACCACUAGUGAUAAAAAAGUUUCUCUUAUUUACUACUCAGAAUUAGCAUGAAGCUAACCUGCUUCCAUUCGUUGUUUUUGUGGCCUGAUUAGAAUGGCAGAAAGUCGUGAUGUUUUCGCCCAUAAUGUCUCAGAUUCUUGGGGAAACUCUUGGUAACUUUUGCUGCCGACAUUGGGAAGCGCAGCAAUCAAACUUGGCAUGACAUCAAUGUUCAUAUUGGACAUAGCUCAUGAGACAAUAUGAUUUCCUUUACGAAAUUAGGAAGCUCAGGAAUGUUUAUUCAUGGUUUAUCGCACUAUUUCUACAAAACUACGGCCUUUGUGUACCAUUGUUUGUAGGUUGGGAUUUAUAGCAUGCUUUUCUAAACACUUUCUUUCCUGUGCUUGAUGUCUGAUUUGUAUCGGACAUGUUGAUGCCUUUGGCAUCUCAAGGCAGUAAGGCACUUUUUGAUUAUUUUUAUUUUGUUUUAUAUAUUGUAGUUUAUAUAUAUUACCUUAGUUAAAAAUUCUUUUAUUUUCUUCAUGAAUUGUUUUGUUUAUCCUAAGGAGUUUGUUCUGUUAUUUUCUAUAUGUUCAUUAAUAUUUUUUGCAUUUAUUUUAUGCAAAUUCAUACUAUUCUAGGUUGCAUGAUGGAUUAUCUGGUCUUAUGUUAGACAAUGGUUCUCAUGACAGUUGUCAGUGCCACACUUCCUGAGUAUAGGACUCUGCACUUCUACAGUUUGUGCAGGCUUUUCCAUCAUUUGAAAAUUGAAUUAGGAGAUUGAUUUCCCGCAUUUUUAUCUUUUACACAGGGUCAUAACUUUCAGAACUUGUAUGUUUCAUUUGUGGAAUGAAGCUUUCUUCGCAUGUUUUAAGUGAAAUUCGUUUUACUGACAGGUUGACAUUAGGGCCCUUUAUGGGCAUCUAUCAACAAAGGAACAAGAUAAAGGGGUUCUUGUUAACGAAUCGGGCUUCAUAGUUAUUGUCUAUGUUUGUAUAUUUUGCAAGCUUUUCCAUGGUUACCUUAUAUGCUUUAUCUAUUAUAUACCUCUGAGUGCUUGGAAUCCCAUUUUAUUGUUCCUCAAAUAAGAUUAAGCUGUAACUAUUUCUGAUUGCUAGGAUAUAGUUGAAUCUGUAUUUAGAUCAUAAUUCGAAAUGCUUUCCAUUCUUAUUCCAUGUGCAUGGAAUUUCCUCUCUCUUGAUUUGAGAUUUGUUGCAUGAAAGUGCAUGCUCAAUGAUCAUGUUCCUGUACCAAUUUAAAAAAAAUGCAAAAUCAUUCUCUGGUGUACUCUUAUGUUGGUAUGUUAGGGAUUAGUUCAGUUGGGUGGUAAUUUGAAUGAUGUUGUAAUAUUUUAUUUCAAUCCUGAUGGAUUGAAGAGAAUGAUCAGGCAGGCAGAAAAAUUCUCAAAAAAAAAAAAGAUCUGGCAGGGGGGAAGUGUCCCGGAAAAUGGAGACCAACCUUAGACUAGUCUUGAAAUAUGGAGAAGGCUGGAUGUAAUAUAACACAACAUAUCUAUCGAGACGUAGAAUUUUUAAUUGAAUAGAAAAAUGGAGAUUUUGAACUUUGUGUGUAUACAAGUCUUAGUGUGAAAUAAAGCUUGAAUCAAGUUCUCUCAGCAGAAGUCGAUAAUUGCCUUGUUUUUGAAGUGGAGAUUCUUGUUCUCUGAACUAGAAAUGUUGUCACAGAUAAGCUAUCUUGCACUACAUAAAAGUCUGGAGGGGGGUAAUCCAAGAAUUUGGAGGGUCUUCUCUAGAGUUCUCAUAAACGUGCGAUUCUUUACUUUUAGUUGAUAAGAAAAGCAUGUCCUGAGACUCUGGAUUAUUAUUUCACUAUGUUGCUGGCUGUUAUAGCCUUUAUGUAUGCAGUGGACCGCUGAAAAUGCAAAUGUGGAAAGCAGUGGCAAAUAUACUUGUCCCUGUGGAUAGAAAGUAACUAAGGAUCAAUGGAUGAAUGGAGCAAACAACGUUCUGAAACAGAAUCGGGCAAAUGAUACAGGAGAGAGUGGUUAUUGAAGUUCAUGAUCCAAUUAUGAAGUAUCAAUUGAAGGUGGUUUAGUCAUAAUCAGUCUCCUGGAGUCCCAUCAAACCUAGAGAAUCCCAAUUUGAGGGAUUGGUGAGCUAAAAAAAAAUGACCCUCAGAAUUUUAGCAUAAUCCAUUAGUAUUCAAGAUUAAGCAUAUCUUAGGGAAAGUAUUCAAAGAGACUAUUUACCUUUGGUACAAGAUGUCAUGAUUAAUUUUGACCAUUGGAUGUAAAAUUUGGUGAUUGCAUUUAUUCCGCUUAUCAAGUUUAAAGUUAAAAAUAAAUUUUUUUGAA